GACGAACGCUGGCGGCGUGCUUAACACAUGCAAGUCGAACGGAAAUUCUUUGCUUUUGUGGGGUGCUCGAGUGGCGAACGGGUGUGUAACACGUGAGUAACCUGCCCUCGACUUUGGGAUAACUUCAGGAAACUGGGGCUAAUACCGGACAGGAGCUCCUGCUGCAUGGUGGUGGUUGGAGAGUUUCGGCGGUUGGAGAUGGACUCGCGGCUCAUCAGCUUGUUGGUGGGGUAGUGGCUUACCAAGUCUUUGACGGGUAGCCGACAUGAGAGGGUGACCAGCGACAUUAGGACUGAGAUACGGACCAGAAUGCUACGGGAGGCAACAGUGGGGAAUAUUACGGAAUAAGCGGAAGCCUGAUGCAACAACGCCGCGUGCGGGAUGACGGGCUUUGAGUUGUGAACCGCUUUCACCUGAAACGAAGAGUGAGUGACGGUAAUGAGUAAAGAAGCAACGGCUAACUACGUG
rnacentral:rRNA from 1 species